rnacentral:rRNA from 1 species
AGUGAACGCUGGCGGUAGGCCUAACACAUGCCAGUCGAACGGCAGCACAGUAAGAGCUUGCUCUUACGGGUGGCGAGUGGCGGACGGGUGAGGAAUACAUCGGAAUCUACUUUUUCGUGGGGGAUAACGUAGGGAAACUUACGCUAAUACCGCAUACGACCUACGGGUGAAAGCAGGGGAUCUUCGGACCUUGCGCGAUUGAAUGAGCCGAUGUCGGAUUAGCUAGUUGGCGGGGUAAAGGCCCACCAAGGCGACGAUCCGUAGCUGGUCUGAGAGGAUGAUCAGCCACACUGGAACUGAGACACGGUCCAGACUCCUACGGGAGGCAGCAGUGGGGAAUAUUGGACAAUGGGCGCAAGCCUGAUCCAGCCAAACCGCGUGGGUGAAGAAGGCCUUCGGGUUGUAAAGCCCUUUUGUUGGGAAAGAAAAGCAGCAGGUUAAUACCCCGCUGUUCUGACGGUACCCAAAGAAUAAGCACCGGCUAACUUCGUG